rnacentral:rRNA from 1 species
AACGCGAAGAACCUUACCCAGGCUCGAAAUGUAGAGGACAACGCCGGAAACGGCGUCUUCCGAAAGGACCUCUAUAUAGGUGCUGCAUGGCUGUCGUCAGCUCGUGCCGUGAGGUGUUGGGUUAAGUCCCGCAACGAGCGCAACCCUUAUUGUUAGUUGCCAACGAUUAUGUCGGGAACUCUAACAAGACUGCCUGGGUUAACCAGGAGGAAGGUGAGGAUGACGUCAAGUCCGCAUGGCCUUUAUGUCUGGGGCAACACACGUGCUACAAUGGCUGGUACAGAAGGCAGCGAAACCGUGAGGUGGAGCAAAUCCUAAAAAGCCAGUCUCAGUUCGGAUUGUAGUCUGCAACUCGACUACAUGAAGUUGGAAUUGCUAGUAAUGGCGGGUCAGCUACACCGCCGUGAAUACGUUCCCGGGCCUUGUACACACCGCAUAC